ACCAGACUCCUACGGGAGGCAGCAGUGGGGGAUAUUGCACAAUGGGGGAAACCCUGAUGCAGCGACGCCGCGUGGGCGAAGAAGUAUUUCGGUAUGUAAAGCCCUAUCAGCAGGGAAGAAGAAAUGACGGUACCUGAGUAAGAAGCACCGGCUAAAUACGUGCCAGCAGCCGCGGUAAUACGUAUGGUGCAAGCGUUAUCCGGAUUUACUGGGUGUAAAGGGAGCGCAGGCGGCACGGCAAGCCUGGAGUGAAAGCCCGGGGCCCAACCCCGGGACUGCUCUGGAAACUGCGUCGCUGGAGUGCGGGAGGGGCAGGCGGAAUUCCUGGUGUAGCGGUGAAAUGCGUAGAUAUCAGGAGGAACACCGGCGGCGAAGGCGGCCUGCUGGACCGUGACUGACGUUGAGGCUCGAGAGCGUGGGGAGCAAACAGGAUUAGAUACCCUGGUA
rnacentral:rRNA from 1 species